rnacentral:rRNA from 1 species
AAUGAACGCUGGCGGCGUGCCUAACACAUGCAAGUCGGAUGUGCCCGCAAGGGUGCAUGGCAGACGGGUGAGUAACGCGUGGGGAAUCUACCUUUUAGUGGGGAAUAACGCUCCGAAAGGAGUGGUAAUACCGCAUGUGACCAUUGGCUGGGAUGUUGAUGGUGAAACCCUGGGACCUUCGGGCCAGGGGCUAAAGAGGAUCCUGCGUCUGAUUAGCUAGUUGGCGGGGUAACGGCCCACCAAGGCGACGAUCAGUAGCCGGCCUGAGAGGGUGAUCGGCCACACUGGAACUGAGACACGGUCCAGACUCCUACGGGAGGCAGCAGUAGGGAAUAUUGGGCAAUGGAGGCAACUCUGACCCAGCCACGCCGCGUGGAGGAUGAAGGUGCUAUGCAUCGUAAACUUCCUUUGUCAAGGGAGAAAGUGCUUGAUUUAUCGAGUUUUGACGGUACUUGGCGAAUAAGCAUCGGCUAACUACGUGCCAGCAGCCGAC